CCUACGGGGGGCUGCAGUGGGGAAUAUUGGACAAUGGGGGGAACCCUGAUCCAGCCAUGCCGCGUGUGUGAAGAAGGCCCUCGGGUUGUAAAGCACUUUCAGUGAGGAAGAACGCCUGGUGGUUAAUACCCAUCAGGAAAGACAUCACUCACAGAAGAAGCACCGGCUAACUCCGUGCCAGCAGCCGCGGUAAUACGGAGGGUGCGAGCGUUAAUCGGAAUUACUGGGCGUAAAGCGCGCGUAGGUGGCUUGAUAAGCCGGUUGUGAAAGCCCCGGGCUCAACCUGGGAACGGCAUCCGGAACUGUCAAGCUAGAGUGCAGGAGAGGAAGGUAGAAUUCCCGGUGUAGCGGUGAAAUGCGUAGAGAUCGGGAGGAAUACCAGUGGCGAAGGAGGCCUUCUGGACUGACACUGACACUGAGGUGCGAAAGCGUGGGUAGCAAACAGGAUUAGAUACCCGAGUAGUC
rnacentral:rRNA from 1 species